rnacentral:lncRNA from 1 species
UGUGUGUGUAUGACCGCAGUGUGUAAGCUCAGGUUCGUGUGCUUGCUAAGCCCAAACUGUGCGGUUCAGUCAUCUUUGCAGGAGUAUGAAUAGAAUCUGGUGGCAUAUUUAGGAAAUUUGUGGCGUGAUGCAAGUUGUACACUGUGCAACCAAUCAAAUUUGCCCUUUAAGAAUUAAUAAAUAAUAAUUAAUAUGAAUGACUUAUCGGUUACAUUUUCUGAACACACAACAGAUAGAAAACCUGACGAAACCACGAGUUAGGUUAGGUAGACGAAGUCACGAAGUGACAGGAUGGAGAGAUCGCAUUUAAAAAGAGACAAGGAAGAGUACAACAGACGCAAGCGAAGAGAUCACACAUGCAGUAAUGACCAUAAGAAUUAUGGAGAACCGGAUAAAAUGCAAGAAAAUCUAGAGGAAGUCAGGCAGAAGUGAAAACUCUUCAAGAACAGGUGUUUAUAUUCCACCUGCCAAGCAAGAGGAAAGUUUGAAUGAAGACACAGGUGCCGAGCAGAUCGAAGAAAAAAAGCAUAUAAGCUGAUGAAGAUGCAGCUGGACAUGAAAUCUGUUAUAUGUUUGUGGACUGUUGUACGGAGAUGCUUAUGUAUGAGAGGUACUCUGGACUUUUAGUCAGUUGGUUCUGCGCUACUAAUAAGAUACUCUGUAUCAUGGAGGGUGCUAUCGUGCAUCAAAUUGAAUGAGAAGGACAGCAUUAGUUGCAGCAGGAUAUUCAUGAAGAUUCUGUUUCAAGAACUUGCUGAAUACAUGACUGAAUAAACGAGUUAAGGAUGAGCAAGAAGUAUUUGAAGGACUCUUUCCCUACAGUAUUUCAAGAAUUGUGUCCAGCCACAUGUAAGAAAACUGAUCUCAGAAUCCAUGUGCAAAAGUUACAUACUUCUGAUAAGCCUUCAAAAUGCAACAUUGUAGAAAAACAUUCCCAUCUAGAUAUAGCUAUAAGUUGCAUAGCAAAACUCAUGAAGAGGAGAAGUGUUACAAGUAUGAUUUAUGUCCAUAUGCGUUCUUAUCGGCCGUCAUUUGGAAUAUCACAUGCUCAUCUAUACCGAUCAGAAGUCGUACCAGUGCGAAGUCAUUUAGGCAGAAACAGCUACUCAAACAUCAUUGCAAUCUUUAUCAUAAUCCUUUCUGUUUUUCCACCACCAUGAGAAAAACGCAUCAAUGUCCAGAAUGUGAAAGAGCAUUUAGACAUAAAGGAAAUUUCAUUCGACAUAUGGCUGUUCACGAUCCAGAAUCGUAUCUACAAAAAAAAACAGCAAGUUCUCAACAUUGGCAGACAGGAAAAGAUUCAAAUCAUCGAUGGUCAACGUGUUGAAAUGAUGACAGGUUACAAUGAUGAAAAAGAAGAAGACGACGACGAAGAUGAUAUGAUGGCAGUACAAGGCAGUGAUGGCCAGCAAUACGUGCUAGAAGUGAUACAAUUAGCUGAGAAUCAGGACAUAAGGAACUGAUCAGAUGGCUGAGGUUGCGAACAAAGAUGGAGAAUUGGUAAUGCAAGACCCUGUUGAGUCAAGAAAGUGGUAUACUAAUAGGAACAGGAGAGAAAGUUGAUGAUGUGGAAGAGCAAGAAGAUAUGGAGAUGCAAGACUUAAAGAUGAAUCCAUACUGUUACUCCUACUAUUAAAUUUUCGGCACAAAACACAUAAAAUGAUCCAAAAUUACAAAAGAAAAUGGAAACCUGUUUUGGAUUUGAUGAAGUGAGUGUCUCAUUAUGUCUCCAUUGAGCUAUUUUUUGAAAAAUCUAUUUAUAUUAUACAAAAAGAAAUAAAAUCGAAUUUUUUUUAAA